rnacentral:rRNA from 1 species
CUGAGGAUAAUACCCUAUAGGUUACCGAUGCUGGAAUGCUCGGUAACUCAAAGUUCCGGCGCCUUAGGAUGGAUCUGCGGCCGAUUAGGUUGUUGUUGGGGUAACGGCCCAACAAGCCCGAAAUCGGUACGGGUUGUGGGAGCAAGAGCCCGGAGUUGGAUUCUGAGACACGAAUCCAGGCCCUACGGGGCGCAGCAGGCGCGAAAACUUUACAAUGCGGGCAACCGUGAUAAGGGAACCUCGAGUGCCUGUACAUGCAGGCUGUCUGGGUGUCUAAAACACACCCAAAGAAAGGGCCGGGCAAGACCGGUGCCAGCCGCCGCGGUAAUACCGGCGGCUCGAGUGGUGGCCACUUUUAUUGGGCUUAAAGCGUUCGUAGCUGGGUUGUUAAGUCUCUUGGGAAAUCCGGCGGCUUAACCGUCGGGCGUCUAAGAGAUACUGGCAAUCUUGGAACCGGGAGAGGUGAGGGGUACUUCGGGGGUAGGAGUGAAAUCCUGUAAUCCUCGAGGGACCACCUGUGGCGAAGGCGCCUCACCAGAACGGCUUCGACAGUGAGGGACGAAAGCUGGGGGAGCAAACCGGAUUAGAUACCCGGGUAGUCCCAGCCGUAAACGAUGUGCGUUAGGUGUAUCGACGACCACGAGUCGUCGAGGUGCCGAAGGGAAACCGUGAAACGUACCGCCUGGGAAGUACGGUCGCAAGGCUGAAACUUAAAGGAAUUGGCGGGGGAGCACCACAACAGGUGGAGCCUGCGGUUUAAUUGGACUCAACGCCGGGAAGCUCACCGGAUAGGACAGCGGAAUGAUUGCCGGGCUGAAGACUCUGCAUGACUAGCUGAGAGGAGGUGCAUGGCCGUCGUCAGUUCGUACUGUGAAGCAUCCUGUUAAGUCAGGCAACGAGCGAGACCCACGCCAACAGUUGCCAGCACGAUCCCCGGAUCGGUGGGGACACUGUUGGGACCGCCUCUGCUAAAGAGGAGGAAGGAAUGGGCAACGGUAGGUCAGCAUGCCCCGAAUUAUCCGGGCUACACGCGGGCUACAAUGGGCAGGACAAUGGGUAUCGACACCGAAAGGUGAAGGCAAUCUCCUAAACCUGUCCGUAGUUCGGAUUGUGGGCUGUAACUCGCCCACAUGAAGCUGGAAUCUGUAGUAAUCGCGUCAAAAUGCACGAC